AACGAACGCUGGCGGCAUGCCUAACACAUGCAAGUCGAACGAGACCUUCGGGUCUAGUGGCGCACGGGUGCGUAACGCGUGGGAACCUGCCCUUAGGUUCGGAAUAACUCCCCGAAAGGGGUGCUAAUACCGGAUAAUGUCUUCGGACCAACGAUUUAUCGCCUUUGGAUGGGCCCGCGUUGGAUUAGCUAGUUGGUAGGGUAAAAGCCUACCAAGGCGACGAUCCAUAGCUGGUCUGAGAGGAUGAUCAGCCACACUGGGACUGAGACACGGCCCAGACUCCUACGGGAGGCAGCAGUGGGGAAUAUUGGAAAAUGGGCGAAGGCCUGAUCCAGCAAUGCCGCGUGAGUGAUGAAGGCCUUAGGGUUGUAAAGCUCUUUUACCCGGGAUGAUAAUGACAGUACCGGGAGAAUAAGCUCCGGCUAACUCCGUG
rnacentral:rRNA from 1 species